rnacentral:rRNA from 1 species
UAUCCUGUCUGAAUAUGGGGGGACCAUCCUCCAAGGCUAAAUACUCCUGACUGACCGAUAGUGAACCAGUACCGUGAGGGAAAGGCGAAAAGAACCCCGGCGAGGGGAGUGAAAAAGAACCUGAAACCGUGUACGUACAAGCAGUGGGAGCAUGCUUAGGCGUGUGACUGCGUACCUUUUGUAUAAUGGGUCAGCGACUUAUAUUCUGUAGCAAGGUUAACCGAAUAGGGGAGCCGAAGGGAAACCGAGUCUUAACUGGGCGUUAAGUUGCAGGGUAUAGACCCGAAACCCGGUGAUCUAGCCAUGGGCAGGUUGAAGGUUGGGUAACACUAACUGGAGGACCGAACCGACUAAUGUUGAAAAAUUAGCGGAUGACUUGUGGCUGGGGGUGAAAGGCCAAUCAAACCGGGAGAUAGCUGGUUCUCCCCGAAAGCUAUUUAGGUAGCGCCUCGUGAACUCAUCUCCGGGGGUAGAGCACUGUUUCGGCAAGGGGGUCAUCCCGACUUACCAACCCGAUGCAAACUGCGAAUACCGGAUAAUGUUAUCACGGGAGACACACGGCGGGUGCUAACGUCCGUCGUGAAGAGGGAAACAACCCAGACCGCCAGCUAAGGUCCCAAAGUCAUGGUUAAGUGGGAAACGAUGUGGGAAGGCCCAGACAGCCAGGAUGUUGGCUUAGAAGCAGCCAUCAUUUAAAGAAAGCGUAAUAGCUCACUGGUCGAGUCGGCCUGCGCGGAAGAUGUAACGGGGCUAAACCAUGCACCGAAGCUGCGGCAGCGACACUAUGUGUUGUUGGGUAGGGGAGCGUUCUGUAAGCCUGUGAAGGUGUACUGUGAGGUAUGCUGGAGGUAUCAGAAGUGCGAAUGCUGACAUAAGUAACGAUAAAGCGGGUGAAAAGCCCGCUCGCCGGAAGACCAAGGGUUCCUGUCCAACGUUAAUCGGGGCAGGGUGAGUCGACCCCUAAGGCGAGGCCGAAAGGCGUAGUCGAUGGGAAACAGGUUAAUAUUCCUGUACUUGGUGUUACUGCGAAGGGGGGACGGAGAAGGCUAUGUUGGCCGGGCGACGGUUGUCCCGGUUUAAGCGUGUAGGCUGGUUUUCCAGGCAAAUCCGGAAAAUCAAGGCUGAGGCGUGAUGACGAGGCACUACGGUGCUGAAGCAACAAAUGCCCUGCUUCCAGGAAAAGCCUCUAAGCAUCAGGUAACAUCAAAUCGUACCCCAAACCGACACAGGUGGUCAGGUAGAGAAUACCAAGGCGCUUGAGAGAACUCGGGUGAAGGAACUAGGCAAAAUGGUGCCGUAACUUCGGGAGAAGGCACGCUGAUAUGUAGGUGAAGUCCCUCGCGGAUGGAGCUGAAAUCAGUCGAAGAUACCAGCUGGCUGCAACUGUUUAUUAAAAACACAGCACUGUGCAAACACGAAAGUGGACGUAUACGGUGUGACGCCUGCCCGGUGCCGGAAGGUUAAUUGAUGGGGUCAGCGCAAGCGAAGCUCUUGAUCGAAGCCCCGGUAAACGGCGGCCGUAACUAUAACGGUCCUAAGGUAGCGAAAUUCCUUGUCGGGUAAGUUCCGACCUGCACGAAUGGCGUAAUGAUGGCCAGGCUGUCUCCACCCGAGACUCAGUGAAAUUGAACUCGCUGUGAAGAUGCAGUGUACCCGCGGCAAGACGGAAAGACCCCGUGAACCUUUACUAUAGCUUGACACUGAACAUUGAGCCUUGAUGUGUAGGAUAGGUGGGAGGCUUGGAAGUGUGGACGCCAGUCUGCAUGGAGCCGACCUUGAAAUACCACCCUUUAAUGUUUGAUGUUCUAACGUUGACCCGUAAUCCGGGUUGCGGACAGUGUCUGGUGGGUAGUUUGACUGGGGCGGUCUCCUCCUAAAGAGUAACGGAGGAGCACGAAGGUUGGCUAAUCCUGGUCGGACAUCAGGAGGUUAGUGCAAUGGCAUAAGCCAGCUUGACUGCGAGCGUGACGGCGCGAGCAGGUGCGAAAGCAGGUCAUAGUGAUCCGGUGGUUCUGAAUGGAAGGGCCAUCGCUCAACGGAUAAAAGGUACUCCGGGGAUAACAGGCUGAUACCGCCCAAGAGUUCAUAUCGACGGCGGUGUUUGGCACCUCGAUGUCGGCUCAUCACAUCCUGGGGCUGAAGUAGGUCCCAAGGGUAUGGCUGUUCGCCAUUUAAAGUGGUACGCGAGCUGGGUUUAGAACGUCGUGAGACAGUUCGGUCCCUAUCUGCCGUGGGCGCUGGAGAACUGAGGGGGGCUGCUCCUAGUACGAGAGGACCGGAGUGGACGCAUCACUGGUGUUCGGGUUGUCAUGCCAAUGGCACUGCCCGGUAGCUAAAUGCGGAAGAGAUAAGUGCUGAAAGCAUCUAAGCACGAAACUUGCCCCGAGAUGAGUUCUCCCUGACUCCUUGAGAGUCCUGAAGGAACGUUGAAGACGACGACGUUGAUAGGCCGGGUGUGUAAGCGCAGCGAUGCGUUGAGCUAACCGGUACUAAUGAACCGUGAGGCUUAACCUUACAACGCCGAAG